rnacentral:rRNA from 1 species
GACGAACGCUGGCGGCGUGCUUAACACAUGCAAGUCGAACGGAGUGGCGAACGGGUGAGUAACGCGUAAUCAACCUGCCCUUCAGAGGGGGACAACAGUUGGAAACGACUGCUAAUACCGCAUCCUGAAGGGGGUGAUUGCGUGUGAUUAGCUAGUUGGAGGGGUAACGGCCCACCAAGGCGAUGAUCAGUAGCCGGUCUGGGAGGAUGAACAGCCACAUUGGGACUGAGACACGGCCCAGACUCCUACGGGAGGCAGCAGUGGGGAAUAGUCCGAAAUGGACGAAAGUCUGACGGAGCAACGCCGCGUGAGUGAUGACGGCCUUCGGGUUGUAAAGCUCUGUUAAUCGGGACGCGGUACCGGAAUAGAAAGCCACGGCUAACUACGUGCCAGCAGCCGCGGUAAUAC